UACAGGACGAACGCUGGCGGCGUGCUUAAUACAUGCAAGUCAACUUGACUUUAGAUAGCAAUAUCGAAAAGUAGGGUGGCGCACGGGUGCGUAACGCGUAGGUAAUCUGCCCUGAGGUCUGACAUAACCCGUCGAAAGGCGGGCUAACAUCAGAUGAUAUAUAGUCACGACAUCGUGGAAAUAUCAAAUCUUCGGAGCCUUGGGAUGAGCCUGCGUCUGAUUAGGUAGUUGGCGGAGUAAUAGCCCACCAAGCCUACGAUCAGUAGCUGGUCUGAGAGGAUGAUCAGCCACACUGGAACUGAGACACGGUCCAGACUCCUACGGGAGGCAGCAGUAAGGAAUAUUGCUCAAUGGGGGGAAACCCUGAAGCAGCAACGCCGCGUGAAGGAUGAAAUACUUUUGUAUGUAAACUUCUGUAAGAUGGGAAAAAUAUUCUCCUCGGGAGAAUUGAUUGUACCAUCAGAGUAAGCCCCGGCUAACUACGUG
rnacentral:rRNA from 1 species